rnacentral:rRNA from 1 species
UACAUAGGGUGCAAGCGUUGUCCGGAAUUAUUGGGCGUAAAGAGCUCGUAGGCGGUCUGUUGCGUCGGCUGUGAAAACCCGGGGCUCAACUCCGGGCCUGCAGCCGAUACGGGCAGACUAGAGUUCGGCAGGGGAGACUGGAAUUCCUGGUGUAGCGGUGAAAUGCGCAGAUAUCAGGAGGAACACCGGUGGCGAAGGCGGGUCUCUGGGCCGAUACUGACGCUGAGGAGCGAAAGCGUGGGGAGCGAACAGG